rnacentral:rRNA from 1 species
AGUGGAAGCGUCUGGAAAGACGCGCGAUACAGGGUGACAGCCCCGUACACAAAAGCGCAUGUGUUGUGAGCUCGAUGAGUAGGGCGGGACACGUGGUAUCCUGUCUGAAUAUGGGGGGACCAUCCUCCAAGGCUAAAUACUCCUGACUGACCGAUAGUGAACCAGUACCGUGAGGGAAAGGCGAAAAGAACCCCGGCGAGGGGAGUGAAAAAGAACCUGAAACCGUGUACGUACAAGCAGUGGGAGCACAGGUUUACCUGUGUGACUGCGUACCUUUUGUAUAAUGGGUCAGCGACUUAUAUUCUGUAGCAAGGUUAACCGAAUAGGGGAGCCGGAGGGAAACCGAGUCUUAAUUGGGCGUUAAGUUGCAGGGUAUAGACCCGAAACCCGGUGAUCUAGCCAUGGGCAGGUUGAAGGUUGGGUAACACUAACUGGAGGACCGAACCGACUAAUGUUGAAAAAUUAGCGGAUGACCUGUGGCUGGGGGUGAAAGGCCAAUCAAACCGGGAGAUAGCUGGUUCUCCCCGAAAGCUAUUUAGGUAGCGCCUCGUGAACUCAUCUCCGGGGGUAGAGCACUGUUUCGGCUAGGGGGCCAUCCCGGCUUACCAACCCGAUGCAAACUGCGAAUACCGGAGAAUGUUAUCACGGGAGACACACGGCGGGUGCUAACGUCCGUCGUGAAGAGGGAAACAACCCAGACCGCCAGCUAAGGUCCCAAAGUCAUGGUUAAGUGGGAAACGAUGUGGGAAGGCCCAGACAGCCAGGAUGUUGGCUUAGAAGCAGCCAUCAUUUAAAGAAAGCGUAAUAGCUCACUGGUCGAGUCGGCCUGCGCGGAAGAUGUAACGGGGCUAAAUCAUGCACCGAAGCUGCGGCAGCGACACUCAGGUGUUGUUGGGUAGGGGAGCGUUCUGUAAGCCUGUGAAGGUGUGUCGUGAGGCAUGCUGGAGGUAUCAGAAGUGCGAAUGCUGACAUAAGUAACGAUAAAGCGGGUGAAAAGCCCGCUCGCCGGAAGACCAAGGGUUCCUGUCCAACGUUAAUCGGGGCAGGGUGAGUCGACCCCUAAGGCGAGGCCGAAAGGCGUAGUC